rnacentral:rRNA from 1 species
UACGUAGGGUGCGAGCGUUGUCCGGAAUUAUUGGGCGUAAAGGGCUCGUAGGCGGCCAGAUAGGUCCGUUGUGAAAACUCGAGGCUCAACCUCGAGACGCCGAUGGAAACCAUCUGGCUAGAGUCCGGAAGAGGAGAGUGGAAUUCCCGGUGUAGCGGUGAAAUGCGCAGAUAUCGGGAAGAACACCCGUGGCUAAGGCGGCUCUCUAGUACGGUACUGACGCUGAGACGCGAAAGCGUGGGGAGCGAACAGG